GAAGACUUCUGUUGGGCUGGCGAGAAGAGAAGGGGCCGAAACUUGCUUUUUGCUGAAAGGAAGAGAAAUCACAGAGUUGCAAAUCCUCCCUGCUCAGCUUCAUCAGCACUUAAUACCAUUUGCUCGAGCUCCUGGGUGAGAGCUACAAAACUAGUCCCUGAGCCCAGUGGGAGGAUCCACUAGUCCACACCCUCGACCUCUGUCAGCCUCUUCAGCCCCUUCUCGCUUGAGGAGAAUGUGAUCGUUGUUACAGGCAUCAGAAAAAGGCAAGUUGGGGAAGGCAUACAAGUACCAACUAGGUGUCUCUUUCUCCAAGGAGCUCCACAAAAUAUUCCAUCCAGAGUGCAGAUGAUGGUAGGUAGUCUUUAAUUUACACAGGUGUCUUCCCAGUAGGUUUACGGGAGAAUCAAGAGAAUGAAAGAACACAUGUUCCUCAGUCAGAGGGCCUAUCUGUAUGGGAACUGCCAGCGAAAAGUAACAAGUAGAAAGUUUACCCGGAAAAUCAACAACCUGCAUUGAUCUAUCACCAGAUGAAAAUUGGGAAAUUUCAGAGGAACUUGAAGCAUAAGUAGCACCAAAGGGCCGGGGGCAGUGGCUCACGCCUAUAAUC
rnacentral:lncRNA from 1 species